AUAUUCAGCAAUCAGUAGCUUUCACCAAUCAAAAGAACUUUUAGAAGAUAUAAUUGAAGACAAAAUCCUAUUUAUAAUAGCAAACAACAGCAAAAGCAAGGAAUGAACUUAGUCAAUGUGCACUGCCUGUAGGAGAUGGCCUCGUGAUCCGCCCGCCUUGGCCUCCCAAAGUGCUGGGAUUACAGGAGUGAGCCACCGUGCCCAAAAAAAUAAAUUUUGUAAUGUUUCACUUAACAAAAGAGAUACAUUCUGAGAAAUGUAUCAUUAAGUGAUUUCAUAAUUAGUUGAUUUCGUUGUCACGCAAACAUCAUAGAAUGCACUUACACAAACCUAGAUGGUACAGCCUACUACACACCCAGGCUUUAUGGUAGAGCCUAUUGCCCUUGGCA
rnacentral:lncRNA from 1 species